UACGUAGGGGGCGAGCGUUGUCCGGAUUUAUUGGGCGUAAAGCGCGCGCAGGCGGUUCGUUAAGUCCGUUGUGAAAGCUCCCGGCUCAACUGGGAGAGGUCUUCGGAUACUGGCGAACUCGAGGGAGGCAGAGGAAGGUGGAAUUCCGGGUGUAGUGGUGAAAUGCGUAGAGAUCCGGAGGAACACCAGUGGCGAAGGCGGCCUUCUGGGCCUUUCCUGACGCUGAGGCGCGAAAGCGUGGGGAGCGAAC
rnacentral:rRNA from 1 species